rnacentral:rRNA from 1 species
CCCUAGUUCGGAUUGUGGGCUGAAACUCGCCUACAUGAAGCUGGAAUUGCUAGUAAUCACAGGUCAGCAUACUGUGGUGAAUACGUUCCCGGGCCUUGUACACACCGCCCGUCACACCAUGAGAGUUGAGAAUACCCGAAGCCCAUGUCAAAGUGGUCGAAGGUAGGCUUGAUGAUUGGGGUGAAGUCGUAACAAGGUAUC